rnacentral:pre_miRNA from 1 species
CAUGCACCAGUGGGGUCCCUCAGCCUGGUUUGUGCCCUCUCGCAAUCUGGUACCCCUCAGGGGAUGUUGGAGAGCCAGUUUUGGCCCCAUCCCGCAGGCCAGGCCGAGGGACCCCACUGGUGCACG